rnacentral:rRNA from 1 species
UGGGGGAUAUUGCACAAUGGGCGAAAGCCUGAUGCAGCGACGCCGCGUGGGGGAUGAAGGCCUUCGGGUUGUAAACUUCUUUUGCUCUGAACAAGGCAUGCUAAUGGGUGUGUUGAGUGUAGGGGUUGAUUAGCGCCGGCUAACUACGUGCCAGCAGCCGCGGUAAUACGUAGGGCGCGAGCGUUGUCCGGAAUUAUUGGGCGUAAAGGGCUGGUAGGUGGCUGGUUGCGUCUGUCGUGAAAGCUCAUGGCUUAACUGUGGGUUUGCGGUGGGUACGGGCUGGCUUGAGUGCAGUAGGGGAGGCUGGAAUUCCUGGUGUAGCGGUGGAAUGCGCAGAUAUCAGGGGGAAUACCGGUGGCGAAGGCGGGUCUCUGGGCUGUUACUGACACUGAGGAGCGAAAGCAUGGGGAGCGAACAGG